rnacentral:rRNA from 1 species
UACGUAGGUGGCAAGCGUUGUCCGGAUUUACUGGGCGUAAAGAGCGCGCAGGCGGUCGGAUUAGUCGCGUGUGAAAGCCCCCGGCUCAACUGGGGAGGGUCACGCGAUACUGUUCGACUCGAAGGCAGGAGAGGGAAGUGGAAUUCCCGGUGUAGUGGUGAAAUGCGUAGAUAUCGGGAGGAACACCAGUGGCGAAGGCGAGUCUCUGGGAUGAUGCUGACGCUGAGGCGCGAAAGCCAGGGGAGCAAACGGG